rnacentral:rRNA from 1 species
CAGAUCACCAGUUAAGGUCCCAAAAUCUAUGCUAAGUGGAAAAGGAUGUGGAGUUGCGCAGACAACUAGGACGUUGGCUCAGAAGCAGCCAUCAUUCAAAGAGUGCGUAAUAGCUCACUAGUCGAGUGACGCUGCGCCGAAAAUUUACCGGGGCUAAGCAUAGUACCGAAACUGUGGAUGUACGUAAGUACGUGGUAGGAGAGCGUUCUAAGUGCGGCGAAGGUUAACCGAGAGGAUAAUUGGAGCGCUUAGAAGUGAGAAUGCCGGUAUGAGUAGCGAAAGAUAGGUGAGAAUCCUAUCCGCCGAAAGACUAAGGUUUCCUGGGGCAGGCUCGUCCGCCCAGGGUAAGUCGGGACCUAAGGCAAGGCCGAAAGGCGUAGUCGAUGGAUAACAGGUAGAGAUUCCUGUACUGUGUUCAAUCGUUAAGAGCGAAGGAGGGACGCAGGAGGUGAAGCACGCAUCGCGAUGGAACGAUGUUCAAGCGACAAGUGCGGUUAAGAGUCAAAUGCUUCUAACCAGCAACACGAGUCGUGAUGAGGAGCGAAAUAAAAGUAGCGAAGGUGUGGUAGUCACACUGCCAAGAAAAGCUUCUAGCCAGAGAGAACAUACCCGUACCGCAAACCGACACAGGUAGUCGAGUGGAGAACACUAAGGUGAGCGAGAGAACUCUCGUUAAGGAACUCGGCAAAAUGACCCCGUAACUUCGGAAGAAGGGGUGCUGGCCAUGAGAAUGGUUAGCCGCAGUGAAUAGGCCCAAACAACUGUUUAUCAAAAACACAGGUCUCUGCAAAAUCGUAAGAUGACGUAUAGAGGCUGACACCUGCCCGGUGCUGGAAGGUUAAGAGGAGAGCUUAGCGCAAGCGAAGGUUUGAAUUGAAGCCCCAGUAAACGGCGGCCGUAACUAUAACGGUCCUAAGGUAGCGAAAUUCCUUGUCGGGUAAGUUCCGACCUGCACGAAAGGUGUAAUGAUUUGGGCACUGUCUCAACGAGAGACUCGGUGAAAUUAUAAUACCCGUGAAGAUGCGGGUUACCCGCGACAGGACGGAAAGACCCCAUGGAGCUUCACUGUAGCUUGAUAUUGAGUAUCUUUUAAACAUGUACAGGAUAGGUAGGAGCCAAGGAAAGCAGGACGCUAGUUUUGCUGGAGGCAAUGUUGGGAUACUACCCUUGUUUGAAGGAUGCUCUAACCUCGACCUGUAAGCCAGGCCAGGGACAGUGUCAGGUGGGCAGUUUGACUGGGGCGGUCGCCUCCUAAAGUGUAACGGAGGCGCUCAAAGGUUCCCUCAGAAUGGUUGGAAAUCAUUCGCAGAGUGUAAAGGUAUAAGGGAGCUUGACUGCGAGAGAAACAGCUCGAGCAGGUAGGAAACUAGGACUUAGUGAUCUGGUGGUACCGCAUGGAAGGGCCAUCACUCAACGGAUAAAAGCUACCCUGGGGAUAACAGGCUUAUCUCCCCCAAGAGUUCACAUCGACGGGGAGGUUUGGCACCUCGAUGUCGGCUCGUCGCAUCCUGGGGCUGUAGUCGGUCCCAAGGGUUGGGCUGUUCGCCCAUUAAAGCGGCACGCGAGCUGGGUUCAGAACGUCGUGAGACAGUUCGGUCCCUAUCCGUCGUGGGCGUAGGAAAUUUGAGAGGAGCUGUCCUUAGUACGAGAGGACCGGGAUGGACGCACCGCUGGUGUACCAGUUGUUCCGCCAGGAGCAUCGCUGGGUAGCUAUGUGCGGAAGGGAUAAGCGCUGAAAGCAUCUAAGUGCGAAGCCCCCCUCAAGAUGAGAUUUCCUUUGCGCAAGCAGUAAGACACCUCAAAGACGAUGAGGUAGAUAGGCUGGGAGUGGAAGUUCUGUGAAGAAUGGAGCGGACCAGUACUAAUCAGUCGAGGACUUGACCAA